ACAAGCCUGAGAAACGGCUAGUAGGACUACGGUCUGCAGCAGGCGCGAAACUUACACAAUGCUAGAUUACAAUUAGCGAUGUAGUGAAGAAAAAUAACGAUGUACUUUCAUCUACAAAUGAUAGUACAAUUGGAAUGAGACGACUAUAAACCAGUUAGUCGAGUAACAAAUGGAGGGCAAGUCUGGUGCCAGCAGCCGCGGUAAUUCCAGCUCCAUUAGCAUACAUUAAAGUUGUUGCGGUUAAAAAGCUCGUAGUUGAAUUUUAGGCGGGCUCUAUUGGAUUGCAAUCGUUAAGACUACAUCUUGCUCCGGCUUGAUUAGUUGGUUGUAUCAUCCUAUAGGAACCCGCUGUUUCGUCACUUAAUUGAGUGCGAAGCGGGCUGAAACAGUUGCUUAACCUUCGCGGUUGCAUUGUUCCAGCAAGUUUACCUUGAGAAAAUUAGAGUGCUCACAGCAGGCAGUUGGGGCGUAAAAACCCCUUUAUGCUUGGAUAAUGUUGCAUGGAAUAAUAGAAUACGGCCUCGGUUCUAUUCUGUUGGUCUUAUAGAACAACAAACAAGUUGGUUAAAGCGACAAAAAGUUCGUUUGUGAGUGUGGCCUUAAGGGUCUUUCAUGUUGAUUAGCAAGUUAAUUAGCGUUGUGUUACCUAGGGCCUUAAAAUCUUAGCGUCGCGUGCUAAUUAAUCUCUAAUCAGCUGUUUGUUGCCCUUAAAGUCAAUUAAAGCACUCCUAAUUGGGCUAGCUUUCUAAUCAACUGAGGCAAUGGUUAAAAGAAAUAGUCGCGGCGGCAUCAGUACUGCAUCGUGAGAG
rnacentral:rRNA from 1 species